UUACGCUAUAACUCAUAAUUAAUAAGAAUGUGGAGUAUUGCCAAAAAGCUACUAUUUCAUUUUUUUUUUUUUUGAAAAAAUAAGAUCAAUAAAACAGUACGCAGUGAGAAUGUGGUACCUGGGUUAGGUUAUCGCGACGGCAAC